ensembl:snRNA U6 U6 spliceosomal RNA
GUGCUCACUUCAGCAGCACAUAAGCUAGAAUUGGAACAAUACAGAGAAGAUUAGCAUGGUCCCUGCACAAAAAUAAUGUGCAAAUUUAUGAAGCGUUCUAUAUUUUU